AACGUAGGUGGCGAGCGUUAUCCGGAAUUACUGGGCGUAAAGAGCUCGUAGGUGGUUUGUCGCGUUGUUCGUGAAAACUCACAGCUCAACUGUGGGCGUGCGGGCGAUACGGGCAGACUUGAGUACUGCAGGGGAGACUGGAAUUCCUGGUGUAGCGGUGGAAUGCGUAGAUAUCGAGAGGAACACCUGCGGCGAAGGCGGGUUGCUGGGCUGACACUGACGCUGAGGCGCGAAAGCUAGGGGAGCGAACGGG
rnacentral:rRNA from 1 species